rnacentral:rRNA from 1 species
UACAGAGGUCUCAAGCGUUGUUUGGAUUCAUUGGGCGUAAAGGGUGCGUAGGUGGCGCGCUAAGUCAGGUGUGAAAUUUCGGAGCUUAACUCCGAAACUGCAUUUGAUACUGGCGUGCUUGAGGACUGGAGAGGAGACUGGAAUUCAUGGUGUAGCAGUGAAAUGCGUGAGAGAUCAUGAGGAAGACCAGUGGCGAAGGCGGCUCUCUGGGACGGUACUGACGCUGAGACGCGAAAGCGUGGGGAGCGAACAGG